CACGGUUCUCGUCCGAUCACCGAAGUUAAGCUCAGUAGGGCGCGGUAAGUACUUGGAUGGGUGACCGCUUCGGAAUACCGUGUGCUGUAGGCA
rnacentral:rRNA from 1 species